ACGGAAGGCGCAGUGGGGAAUUUUGCGCAAUGGGGGAAACCCUGACGCAGCAACGCCGCGUGCGGGAUUGAAGGCCUUCGGGUUGUAAACCGCUUUCAGUGGGGACAAAGAUGAUGGUACCCACAGAAGAAGCUCCGGCUAACUACGUGCCAGCAGCCGCGGUAAUACGUAGGGAGCGAGCGUUAUCCGGAUUCAUUGGGCGUAAAGCGCGCGUAGGCGGACCGUUAAGCGGGAUGUUAAAGCCCGGGGCUCAACCCCGGCCCGCAUCCCGAACUGGCGGUCUUGAGUUCGGUAGGGGAGGACGGAAUUCCCAGUGUAGCGGUGAAAUGCGCAGAUAUUGGGAAGAACACCGAUGGCGAAAGCAGUCCUCUGGGCCGCAACUGACGCUGAGGCGCGAAAGCUGGGGGAGCGAACAGGAUUAGAUACCCUGGUA
rnacentral:rRNA from 1 species